GACGAACGCUGGCGGCGUGCCUAAUACAUGCAAGUUGAGCGCUGAAGGUUGGUACUUGUACCAACUGGAUGAGCAGCGAACGGGUGAGUAACGCGUGGGGAAUCUGCCUUUGAGCGGGGGACAACAUUUGGAGACGAAUGCUAAUACCGCAUAAAAACUUUAAACACAAGUUUUAAGUUUGAAAGAUGCAAUUGCAUCACUCAAAGAUGAUCCCGCGUUGUAUUAGCUAGUUGGUGAGGUAAAGGCUCACCAAGGCGAUGAUACAUAGCCGACCUGAGAGGGUGAUCGGCCACAUUGGGACUGAGACACGGCCCAAACUCCUACGGGAGGCAGCAGUAGGGGAUCUUCGGCAAUAGACGAAAGUCUGACCGAGCAACGCCGCGUGAGUGAAGAAGGUUUUCGGAUCGUAAAACUCUGUUGGUAGAGAAGAACGUUGGUGAGAGUGGAAAGCUCAUCAAGUGACGGUAACUACCCAGAAAGGGACGGCUAACUACGUG
rnacentral:rRNA from 1 species